GACGAACGCUGGCGGCGUGCCUAAUACAUGCAAGUUGAGCGCUGAAGGUUGGUACUUGUUCCAACUGGAUGAGCAGCGAACGGGUGAGUAACGCGUGGGGAAUCUGCCUUUGAGCGGGGGACAACAUUUGGAAACGAAUGCUAAUACCGCAUAAAAACUUUAAACACAAGUUUUAAGUUUGAAAGAUGCAAUUGCAUCACUCAAAGAUGAUCCCGCGUUGUAUUAGCUAGUUGGUGAGGUAAAGGCUCACCAAGGCGAUGAUACAUAGCCGACCUGAGAGGGUGAUCGGCCACAUUGGGACUGAGACACGGCCCAAACUCCUACGGGGGGCAGCAGGAGGGGAACUUCGGCAAUUGGCGAAAGUCUGACCGAGCAACGCCGCGGGAGUGAAGAAGGUUUUCGGAUCGUAAAACUCUGUUGGUAGAGAAGAACGUUGGUGGGAGGGGAAAGCGCAUCAAGUGACGGUAACUACCCAGAAAGGGACGGCUAACUACGUG
rnacentral:rRNA from 1 species